ACCAGAGACCAAAGUUUGACAAUAACUAGAAAAAAAUAUUCUGCAACUAGCCAAUUCAUUCGCUACGCCUUCUGAAAAAGAAUCUCGACGCGUUUCUUCUGUAAUCGAUCCGUUCGCAACAUCCUCUGAUGAGAUAAUCACGAAGAAACUCGACCUGCUGCCAUUUGUGUUGCUGCUUUGUAAGUUUUCUCUGCAUAACUGGGGAAUUGUAUGUCAGAUUCUGCAAGGAGAUCAAUGCGGCCGCGAAAUAGACUUGAGGAGAAGCCGUCGUCGAGCUAUUGUAGCUACCAAGAAACAUGACUUGGCGGUGAGCUACUAUCGGAAUUUGCCAGUAAUAUGAGGUCGUUCCUGAGAAGUCCCAAGAUUAACAACCUGACGAAGAAGCUUAGUUAGAUGCCAAUCUGAUAAGUCAAACAUCUGCUGACAGCUUCUUGGUAAUUGCAAUAAACAUGCAUAUGAUGGAGAAACGAUGCGUUAUAAUGUAGAUUUUAUUCCUCACCUUUUGUGGAUGUUUCGGUCUGGGAAAUUAUCACACAGUUCUCAUAGCUGAUAAUAUCCGACACAGUGUCCACGAUCAUGAUUCGGACUUACGAUACGAAGUAAACGUUAAUAAUAUUUAGGAACUUAACACAAAUGAGUUAUCUGUAGGAUUUGCUACUAAGUAAUGCUUGGUUGGUAUUGAUAUUUUAUUUGAUUGGCUGCCUUAAGAAUUCACUGGGAUUGGAUGCUGUCAAUUUCAUCAGCGUUAUGGUUUCUGUGGAGGUGUUUCGACAUUUUCUACAUAUACCUGAAAACGGAAAAAGCAACUAGUCAAAAUGAUAAGUACACGGAAACAAAUAGAAGCAGAUACGUCUUUCAUUAGGUAAUCGUAUGAGGCAGUUAUCUUAAAAACAUAUACUAAGAUUUAUAUUCAUUUAUAUUGACCCUGGUUUGGCGGUUCCUGGAGUAAAAACCUGAUAUGCUCAGUUGUAUGU